UUCAUGGCCAUCGAGAGAACGUCUCAUUGGCAUUUUGAAUAACUUUGAAGCAAUGUUCAAUUAGAGAACUCAUGAGUGAGGAACCAUUGAUUUUAGGGUGUGACCCAUUGAGUACAUUGAUGUUUGAGAGUUAAGAAGGAGAGAAAGGCAGCUGUGUCUCUCACCCACCUUAUGCAUCAUUCACCUUUUGGCCCAGCACAAGAGAUUACCCAAUCAAAAGAAGAAGAAGCAGUAGCAGUCAAUGAUUCAGCUCCAUUACAGAUUUUACAGCCAAAAAGGCCGCCUAUAAUUUCGCUGAUUUUUUUAAAGUACAAUUUCAAUGCUGUCUAUCAAGCCUCACCCACCACCCUAUGCCGUUUGUGGUGCACAUUGGACUUGAGGUGGAAAAGAUUUUUUCCAUUGAAGGUAGCCAAAAAUUUAUCCAUUUGGCUGCUGUUAACACUAACUUUCUCUGGCUAGGCUGAUUCAGGCACAGAUUAAUUCAUAACAGGGAUAAUGAACCAUCGUGUGGCCUGGAUAGCAUCGCAGGCAUGACAAACUUAUUAUGGAGGGGAUAAUUCACGGCAUAUCAUCUUAAAAUCAAUAGAAAAUAGUUGAGAUGGACCUUGUUAUAUGUAGCUAGGAUGCCUUUAGUUUAGAUGAUAUCAAAUAUACUUCUAUUAUCACUCUAAUAUCUUUUUCUAUUUGUCUACGAGGAAGUUCAAAGAAAGGAAAGAAAGGAGAUUCCAACUUUGAUCUUUAUCUUUUUAAGAAAUUUCAUAAA